rnacentral:RNase_P_RNA from 1 species
AAAUUCGAGUAAUCGCUGCAAUAUUAUUGUAGAGGAAAGUCCAUGCUCGCACGGUUCUGAGAUGACCGUAGUGUUCGUGCUUACUGAAAAAAUAAGGUAAGGCAAGGUAAUUACCUUGACGGCGGAAGGAAGACCUAAGUCGUUUUCGAUAUGGUUGACACUUCCUGAAAGUGCCACAGUGACGGAGCUUUAUGGGAAACCAUAAAGGUGGAACGAGGUAAACCCCACGAGUGAGAAACCCAAAUUAUGGUAGGGGCACUCUCCAAAAGGAAUUGAACGGAUGGAGGGACGAGAAGUAAUUUCUCGUAGAUAGAUGAUUACUACCCGAUUCGUACGAGGCUAAUCGCCGUUUGAGUACCCGGGAACAAAACAUGGCUUAUGAA